CUCAUUUUGGGAGAAAAUAUACUAAAAUGGGAAUGAUUCAGAGAAGAUUAGCAUGGCCCCUCUGCAAAUAUGACACACAAAUUUGUGAAGCAUUUCAUAAUUUU